rnacentral:rRNA from 1 species
UACAGAGGGGGCAAGCGUUGUUCGGAAUUACUGGGCGUAAAGGGCGCGUAGGCGGCCUUCUUAGUCGAACGUGAAAUCCCCGGGCUCAACCCGGGAACUGCGUCCGAUACUGGAAGGCUCGAAUCCGGGAGAGGGAUGUGGAAUUCCAGGUGUAGCGGUGAAAUGCGUUGAUAUCAUCAGGAACACCGGUGGCGAAGGCGGCUUUCUGGGUCUUACCUGACGCUGAGGAACGAAAGCCAGGGGAGCGAACGGG